rnacentral:tRNA from 1 species
UUAAUUGAAGCUAAAGUAGGAGGCACCUUAAUGUUAAUAAGGAAAUUGUUUAAUAACCAAUUAAA